CUUUACUGCAACUUGACAGUGAUUUUCGGUACGUUCUGCGUAGGAUAGGUGGGAGGCUUUGAGGCCGGGCUUCUGGGUUCGGCGGAGCCAACGUUGAAAUACCACCCUGGAUGUUCUGGAAAUCUAACCUGGGCCCAUCACUGGGUCGGGGACACUGUCUGGCGGGCAGUUUGACUGGGGCGGUCGCCUCCAAAAAAGUAACGGAGGCGUGCGAAGGUUCCCUCAGGCUGAUUGGAAACCAGCCGUAGAGUGCAAACGCACAAGGGAGCUUAACUGCGAGACCGACAGGUCGAGCAGGUGCGAAAGCAGGCGUUAGUGAUCCUGUGGUUCUGCAUGGAAGGGCCAUAGCUCAUCGGAUAAAAGGUA
rnacentral:rRNA from 1 species